UGGACUGCCCAAUCCAAGCUGUGAGUGAACCGUAUGAACCAAGCGAAGGUUUGGUCCGUACGGUUGCUAAAGGUUGAGGGUAUUGCGUUAGGCUGGCUUCACAGAGCAGCGACUACCUCCCGCUCUCAGCAGUGGAUGGACCACGGUUCG
rnacentral:SRP_RNA from 1 species